rnacentral:lncRNA from 1 species
CAUGAUACUCACAUCUUUGACUUCUCUGGUUCUCUGUUUAUUCAGAAAAAGCACUUGAAGUCGGUGGCUGAAAAGAAAGUAAAUGAUCAUAAAAUUGUCUUCUGAGAAGAUUAGCAGCCCAGGGAAGCAGCACCGUACCAGCAAGRAUUUCUUUAUCGCUGAACUGAAUUGAUUGCUGGUGUGGGACUGCGUGAUUAUUAGCGUGGGACUACUUGUACACUGCUAUACACUGUGAGUAAAUGUGGCUUUUUUGGGUGCAGAGGAAUUGUGUAAGGGCCUGAUCCRUGGCACGGGAGGACAUGACUUGUUC